CUCCAUUUCAGAACUCUCCUGCAUUCAACUAUCUGAAGCCAAGCCUCUUCUAUUCCCUUCAAUUGAGACGCGGGUUUCUGAUAAACAUCAGAAAGCUUCACCAUAUGCACAGCUUUCACUCCAUUCAAAUCUGCUAGAGCUUUCUUCCUGGAAGAUUGGUUUGCAAUCCAUCUUUCAUAAUAAUGAAUGUACCUCUCCACAAGAUUCUUAGCCAUCUGUUUCUUUUGAUUCUCUUCAUCAUAAUCUCCAUCUCUCUUGGCCUUCUCAUAGGCAUUGCAAGAAUAGUAAUCCCCAUGAGAUUUCCAUUCACCAAGGCAUAGCCAGCAGAACUCAAAUUUACAAGGAGGUCUGCAAG
rnacentral:misc_RNA from 1 species